AAAAAAAAAAAAAAAAAAUUGAAGUGUCUAUUAGGCAAAAACACAAUAAUUCAACUGUUUGGGAAUGCAUUUGGCUUAUAUAAUAAAAUGAAAUAAAUGUCAUGAUGCAUGAAUGUACUUGCAUAAAACAAUUUAAAUUUAUUUAAAAGAAAUUUAAAGUGUGUUCUACUCACUGACCAAUUAACUUGACUACUAUUAGUUUGGCUAGAAUUGAGACACGUCCAUUUCGGCUCACUUAUAUAGACAUGCUAACAUACUAUUAAACAACUAACAAUUAUAGAAAUAGAAUUUUAAUCCUAGGGAUUUGCUAGCAUUUCGACAAAGUCGCCUCUAUACCUAGGAUUAAACCUCCCUACAAAGCAACAACAUGGCCUCGAGCCCACAACAACAUUAUAUUGCCCAUUUGGGGCCUGCUAGAACACAUAAUCUAAGUAUGGGUCUCCAAGUCUACCUCAGGUUUCUAAUUCCUUUGCAGUCAAAUUAAUUAUGUCCAUAGCUCUAAUGAUUAUGAAAAAAUUUCUGAAAAUCCUUUACAUCAUCCUUUUAUCAAUUAAACUCAUUAUAGUUAACUUCACUAAGUCAAAAAUAUUUUAUUAAUUAAUUGGCCAUUCAAGUUCUAGGUCCAAAUUACCUAAGUUGAUUUCAUACUUACAAUUGUUGAUUCUGCUACCUGAAAUGCGUAUGAAGUGUCUAAAAAUGCUGGAAAUGAGUACAAUAUUGGCUACCUUUUAGGACAACCCACAGGGAGCUUCGAUCUAUCCUAAAUACGGUCCCAUUACUGGAAGCCUAUCACCUAUUUAAAGGUACCUACAUGAAACCCAAAACAAGUCAAUCACUAUGGUUAGUUAGUUUUCAAAAAUAACGGUCCAAAGGGACUGAAAUCUUACUGAUCGAUCUCGGGCAUCUGAUGAGCAACUUUUUUGUUCUGUGUUUGAUCGAGGCAUGGUUAGCAUAAAAUCAAAGCUUGCUUCAAGAGGAGUCCAUCAAUGGUUUCGAAUCAUUUGGGCAACGACUGAAUUGGUUGGAAGCUGAUAAAAAAUUUACGGAGGAGAGAGAUUUUCCUUCUCCUCAAUUCCGAUGAUGGAUGGUGGCGAGGAAGGGCUCUUUCAUCUUGUCUUAGGACUGCAAGGUGAUCAAAAUUGUUAGUGCCAGAAGAGUGAAAUUCUGGCCAAGUUGGGUUGUAGAAUUGUAACUCAACUCUCUCUCUCUCUCUCUCU
rnacentral:misc_RNA from 1 species